rnacentral:tmRNA from 1 species
UGGGCUGAUUCUGGAUUCGACGGGAUUUGCGAAACCCAAGGUGCAUGCCGAGGGGCGGUUGGCCUCGUAAAAAGCCGCAAAAAAUAGUCGCAAACGACGAAAACUACGCUUUAGCAGCUUAAUAACCUGCUUAGAGCCCUCUCUCCCUAGCCUCCGCUCUUAGGACGGGGAUCAAGAGAGGUCAAACCCAAAAGAGAUCGCGUGGAAGCCCUGCCUGGGGUUGAAGCGUUAAAACUUAAUCAGGCUAGUUUGUUAGUGGCGUGUCCGUCCGCAGCUGGCAAGCGAAUGUAAAGACUGACUAAGCAUGUAGUACCGAGGAUGUAGGAAUUUCGGACGCGGGUUCAACUCCCGCCAGCUCCACCA